rnacentral:rRNA from 1 species
UACGUAGGGUGCGAGCGUUGUCCGGAAUUAUUGGGCGUAAAGGGCUCGUAGGCGGUCUGUCGCGUCGGGAGUGAAAACUCAGGGCUUAACCCUGAGCCUGCAGUCGAUACGGGCAGACUGGAGUACUGCAGGGGAGACUGGAAUUCCUGGUGUAGCGGUGAAAUGCGCAGAUAUCAGGAGGAACACCGGUGGCGAAGGCGGGUCUCUGGGCAGUUCCUGACACUGAGGCACGAAGGCCAGGGGAGCAAACGGG